GACGAACGCUGGCGGCGCGUCUAACACAUGCAAGUCGAACGGAGCUUGCUUGUCAGAUUCUUUCGGGAUGACGACUUGUAAGCUUAGUGGCGAACGGGUGAGUAACACGUGAGUAACCUGCCCCAGAGUGGGGGACAACAGUUGGAAACGACUGCUAAUACCGCAUAAGCGCACAGUACCGCAUGGUACGGUGUGAAAAACUCCGGUGGUAUGAGAUGGACCCGCGUCUGAUUAGGUAGUUGGUGGGGUAACGGCCUACCAAGCCGACGAUCAGUAGCCGACCUGAGAGGGUGACCGGCCACAUUGGGACUGAGACACGGCCCAAACUCCUACGGGAGGCAGCAGUGGGGAAUAUUGCACAAUGGGGGAAACCCUGAUGCAGCGACGCCGCGUGAGCGAUGAAGUAUUUCGGUAUGUAAAGCUCUAUCAGCAGGGAAGAAAAUGACGGUACCUGACUAAGAAGCCCCGGCUAACUACGUGCCAGCAGCCGCGGUAAUACGUAGGGGGCAAGCGUUAUCCGGAUUUACUGGGUGUAAAGGGAGCGUAGACGGCAUGGCAAGCCAGAUGUGAAAGCCCGGGGCUCAACCCCGGGACUGCAUUUGGAACUGUCAGGCUAGAGUGUCGGAGAGGAAAGCGGAAUUCCUAGUGUAGCGGUGAAAUGCGUAGAUAUUAGGAGGAACACCAGUGGCGAAGGCGGCUUUCUGGACGAUGACUGACGUUGAGGCUCGAAAGCGUGNGGAGCAAACAGG
rnacentral:rRNA from 1 species